ACACUUACCUGGUGCUGGGUUUGCGGUGAUCACAGAGGCCCCGCCCCGCCUCCGUGCGGAGGCUUCUGCAUUGCACUGCGGUUGUCUGAAGCCCGCCACUUCCCAAGUAGGGGUAGCUGGAGCAUGCACUUUUUGGUAGUGGGGCCGGGCGUGCGCGCCAUCCCCCA